CAGGCAGUUCCGAAUGGUAACGCUGUCUGAUUUGUAAGCAGAUGAUCAUGGGUUCGAUUCCCACCUGCUUCA
rnacentral:tRNA from 2 species